UGCCGCGCGCGGCGGGAGGGGCGGCCCCGGCGGCGCCCCCUGGUGGUGGCGGAGCGGCCGCAGUUCUGCUCCGCCCCGGCUCCAGGACGGCAACGCCGCGGGAGAGCACGGAUACAGUGCGCGGAUGGAUGGGGAGGAAGUGGUACUGGAGGCAACUAGCAAACAACAGGAUUUAACUGAAAAUAAGCGUCAGUAAUGCUAUGACUGAAGCUACAAGAAUGUCUUAAAAUUCUCAGCCAUUUGUCUCCAACAGCAAGCAUGGAUGCUUUUUUCAAUGCUCUGAACUAAAGCUUCCAGAAUGACUUUGUGACGGCCACACCGGUAUGGACAAGUUUGCAACAUCUUAUUAAAAGUUCUACUAUUGAAAGACAGUCCUGUUGUUGUACAACCUGGAAAAAAAAAUAGAGUAUUGUAGAAACAGCGGCAUGACUGCUAUGGUAGUCAUCGUAAAAUCCAGCAUUUUGCUGACUAUGAUCUACAAUACAAGAGAAAAGGAAGCAGUUAAAAAUCACGGACAGAAGCAUUUACUGGAUUCACAGUCAGUGCAGAAGAAUUUACAGCUAGAGCAAGAACUUGAUCAUCCAGCUUAGAGAUUAACUGUGGACCACGUAAUUCUUUGCGUGUUCUUUCUAUAUAUGCUUUUGUACCACUGGG